rnacentral:rRNA from 1 species
GUUGUGUGUUAAAUUGUACACACAAGACUGCCUGCGCAAGCAGGAGGAAGGUGGGGACGACGUCAAAUCAGCAUGGCUCUUACGUCCAGGGCUACACACAUGAUACAAUGGUUGGUACAACGGGUAGCGAAGCCGCAAGGUGUAGCCAAUCCCUUAAAACCAAUCUCAGUUCGGAUUGAAGGCUGAAAUUCGCCUUCAUGAAGUUGGAAUCGCUAGUAAACGUGCAUCAGCUCGGCGCGUUGAAUACGUUCUCGGGUCUUGUACUCAGUCAUUAAAUGCGCCUGGCAGCGUAUAUUUCCAAGAGGUUAAAAUCCUCUCCUCU